UACGGAGGGUGCAAGCGUUAUCCGGAUUCACUGGGUUUAAAGGGUGCGUAGGCGGGUUGGUAAGUCAGUGGUGAAAUCCCCGAGCUUAACUUGGGAACUGCCAUUGAUACUAUCAAUCUUGAAUACUGUGGAGGUCAGCGGAAUAUGUCAUGUAGCGGUGAAAUGCUUAGAUAUGACAUAGAACACCAAUUGCGAAGGCAGCUGGCUACACAAAUAUUGACACUGAGGCACGAAAGCGUGGGGAUCAAACAGG
rnacentral:rRNA from 1 species